rnacentral:rRNA from 1 species
UACAGAGGGUGCGAGCGUUAAUCGGAAUUACUGGGCGUAAAGCGCGCGUAGGCGGCUUUGCAAGUCGGGUGUGAAAUCCCCAGGCUUAACCUGGGAACUGCAUUCGAGACUGCAUUGCUAGAGUAUGGGAGAGGGAAGUGGAAUUUCCGGUGUAGCGGUGAAAUGCGUAGAUAUCGGAAGGAACAUCAGUGGCGAAGGCGGCUACCUGGACCGGUACUGACGCUGAGGCGCGAAAGCGUGGGUAGCAAACAGG